rnacentral:tRNA from 1 species
GCUGCGAUGGCCGAGUGGUUAAGGCGUUGGCCUUGAAAUCCAAUGGGGUUUCCCCGCGCAGGUUCGAAUC